rfam:Broad bean mottle virus RNA 1, 3' end.
AAGAUAUCUGUACCGCCUGCUCCCCGGUGGUUUCGAUCCAUGGCUUCACGAUGUGUUGCAUAGAUGGAAGAUAUCGUGUGGUGUUGAAAAACACCACAUAGUCUCUUAGGGGAGACCA